AAGAACCACCAGCUGAAAGUCGGGAUAGUACACCUGGUCAGAAGACAGAAGAAGAUCAGGGUGCAGCUGAGAUUCAAGGUGGUGGGAAGGGAAAGAAAGAAUGUCUAUGGGGGGAGGAGGCCUAUGUGUGCAUCAUGCCUUAUGCCAUGACCAGUAAGAGGAGGAAACAAAACACUAGGAAAGGAUCUCAAACAUUUGCUGAGUGUUGGCUGGAAACGUGACGGGUAUAGUUUGCAGCUUCCUGCAGUCCCUGGAUAUGAUUAAUCUUCUCUUUUUCAUCGAGAUGCAUUUUGCAGGCUUGAAAAUACAGUCCUUCCUAAAUCAGAUGAAACCAUUUAAUUGGUU
rnacentral:sRNA from 1 species